UUUAGUGGUUUAUCAUUUAUAGAGAUUGGAGUAGCAACAUAAAUUUCUUGGAAGGAUUUUGUUACAUUUUACUAAUGAUAUUUUCUUAUAUAGGUGCAACCACCAUAUAUCAUGCGGCCUGCGAAUAUGGAUGGAUUUUCCCCAUUCGCAAGUCAGAUGCAAACACCAUACAUCAUGCCACAGGGGAUUAUAAAUAAAUUUUCUCCAUUCACUAAUCAGAUGUUGGAGUACCAUAAUAGAUCUCCUGGAAUCAAUUUGAGUCGGGUAUAAGUUGGCUCACUUCUUUUGAUAUGAGAUUAUUUGAGAUACUAUUUAUGCAGUCACAUUGUUUAGCAAACCAUGCCUUUUAUGAAUGUAUUAUUUUAACCUUUGU